CCUACGUGAGGCAGCAGUGAGGAAUAUUGGUCAAUGGGCGGAAGCCUGAACCAGCCAAGCAGCGUGCAGGAUGACGGCCCUACGGGUUGUAAACUGCUUUUAUACGGGAAUAACGCGCCUUAUGUGUAGGGCUUUGCAUGUACCGUACAAAUAAGGACCGGCUAAUUUCGUGCCAGCAGCCGCGGUAAUAUGGAAGGUCCGGGCGUUAUUCGGAUUUAUUGGGUUUAAAGGGAGCGUAGGCCGCAUGUCAAGCGUGCUGUGAAAUGUCCGGGCUCAACCCGGGCCUUGCAGCGCAAACUGGCGUGCUUGAGUCCGCGGAAGGCAGGCGGAAGUCGUCGUGUAGCGGUGAAAUGCUUAGAUAUGACGAAGAACCCCGGUUGCGAAGGCAGCUUGCUGCAGCGGAACUGACGCUGAUGCUCGAAAGCGCGGGUAUCGAACAGGAUUAGAUACCCGUGUAGUC
rnacentral:rRNA from 1 species